rnacentral:piRNA from 1 species
UACAAAGGCCCCACGUCCCACCGGAUGU